AUGAUCAUGGAAACUGAUCAUUGCCUGAUCCUUCUACCGCCUUGGCGCGCUUUCUUGAGGAAUGUCUUUGGUUAAUGGCUUCACGGCCAUGGAGGUGACAUCAUGUGGACAACAGGCUAGGAUGCCAGAGUUAGCUGCUCGGUGGAGAUCAUUUGAGCUCCGACUCAGAUUUUGAACGGAUGUUUGCAUGUAUACCACAGUGCUACAUUAAAAACCAGUCAUGUGGAUGUGGAGAAGGGUGCUGAUCAGGACUCCCUGUUUGCUAACAAAUUCUACAGCAGAAACAAAGUAUUAAGGUUUGCAGCCAGGAAGCAAGUGCAUGGGGAAUAAGCCUGCAGCUUCUUCCAAAUGAGACAGAGCCAAAUCUUUUUUCUGAGUCUGUUUUCUUCAUUUCUAUUAAACCAAGGUCCUUUUUAAGCAGUCGAAUUUCAUCCAAA
rnacentral:lncRNA from 1 species